GAACGCUGGCGGCGUGACUUAACACAUGCAAGUUCGAAACGAUGAAGCCCCAGCUUCCCUGGGUGGAUUAGUGGCGAACGGGUGAGUAACACGUGGGUUGAUCUGCCCUGCACUCUGGGAUAAGCCUGGGAAACUGGGUCUAAUACCGGAUAUGACCUCUUGCUGCAUGGUGAGGGGUGGAAAGUUUUUCGGUGCAGGAUGAGCCCGCGGCCUAUCAGCUUGUUGGUGGGGUAAUGGCCUACCAAGGCGACGACGGGUAGCCGGCCUGAGAGGACGACCGGCCACACUGAGACUGAGACACGGCCCAGACUCCUACGGGAGGCAGCAGUGGGGAAUAUUGCACAAUGGGCGCAAGCCUGAUGCAGCGACGCCGCGUGAGGGAUGACGGCCUUCGGGUUGUAAACCUCUUUCAGCAGGGACGAAGCGCAAGUGACGGUACCUGCAGAAGAAGCACCGGCCAACUACGUGCCAGCAGCCGCGGUAAUACGUAGGGUGCGAGCGUUGUCCGGAAUUACUGGGCGUAAAGAGCUCGUAGGCGGUUUGUCGCGUCGUCUGUGAAAUCCCGCAGCUCAACUGCGGGCUUGCAGGCGAUACGGGCAGACUCGAGUACUGCAGGGGAGACUGGAAUUCCUGGUGUAGCGGUGAAAUGCGCAGAUAUCAGGAGGAACACCGAUGGCGAAGGCGGGUCUCUGGGCAGUAACUGACGCUGAGGAGCGAAAGCGUGGAUACCGAACAGGAUUAGAUACCCUGGUAGUCCACGCCGUAAACGGUGGGCGCUAGGUGUGGGUUUCCUUCCACGGGAUCCGUGCCGUAGCCAACGCAUUAAGCGCCCCGCCUGGGGAGUACGGCCGCAAGGGCUAAAACUCAAAGGAAUUGACGGGGGCCCGCACAAGCGGCGGAGCAUGUGGAUUAAUUCGAUGCAACGCGAAGAACCUUACCUGGGUUUGACAUGUACCGGACGACUGCAGAGAUGUGGUUUCCCUUGUGGCCGGUAGACAGGUGGUGCAUGGCUGUCGUCAGCUCGUGUCGUGAGAUGUUGGGUUAAGUCCCGCAACGAGCGCAACCCUUGUCCUGUGUUGCCAGCACGUGAUGGUGGGGACUCGCAGGAGACUGCCGGGGUCAACUCGGAGGAAGGUGGGGACGACGUCAAGUCAUCAUGCCCCUUAUGUCCAGGGCUUCACACAUGCUACAAUGGUCGGUACAGAGGGCUGCGAUACCGUGAGGUGGAGCGAAUCCCUUAAAGCCGGUCUCAGUUCGGAUCGGGGUCUGCAACUCGACCCCGUGAAGUCGGAGUCGCUAGUAAUCGCAGAUCAGCAACGCUGCGGUGAAUACGUUCCCGGGCCUUGUACACACCGCCCGUCACGUCCAUGAAAGUCGGUAACACCCGAAGCCGGUGGCCUAACCCCUCGUGGGAGGGAGCCGUCGAAGGUGGGAUU
rnacentral:rRNA from 1 species